rnacentral:sRNA from 1 species
GGGUGGUGGGACCAGCAGUGGUGGCAGCAGCACCAACUCCCUGACUGGGUCCCGGCCCCCCAAGGCCCGGCCCACUAUUCUCAGCUCAGGGCUGCCAGAGGAACCCGACCAGAACCUGUCCAGCCCUGAGGAGGUGUUCCACUCUGGCCACUCCCGCAACUCCAGCUAUGCCAGCCAGCAGUCCAAGAUCUCCGGCUAUAGCACAGAGCACUCGCGCUCCUCCAGCCUCUCAGACCUGACGCACCGCCGCAACACGUCCACCAGCAGCAGCGCCUCUGGGGGCCUUGGUAUGACCGUGGAGGGCCCUGAGGGCAGUGAGCGGGAGCACCGGCCCCUGGAGAAGCCACCGCGGCCACCCCGGCCCCUGCAUCUGUCCGAUCGCUCUUUCAGGCGGAAGAAGGACUCGGUGGAGAGCCACCCGACCUGGGUGGACGACACGCGGAUCGAUGCGGAUGCCAUCGUGGAGAAGAUCAUGCAGAGCCAGGACUUCACAGACGGCAGCAACACCGAGGACAGCAACCUCCGGCUGUUCGUGAGCCGCGAUGGCUCCGCCACGCUGAGCGGCAUCCAGCUUGCCACCAGGUAGGGCAGGCUUAGGGAGGGGUCGUCAGGGGCGGCUGGGGCUUGGGGGUGAGAGCAGAGUCCCCACAGUCCACUCACCUGGCCUUGAACGCCAAAUCUUGUCACCACAGUGUGACCCUGUGCCUGUCAUGUCUCUGAACCUCCCUUUCCCCAUCUGUCAGGCGGUGUGGACACCACCACCUCACCUGGGAGCCUGGGGCAGUGAGGGCACGGACAGGUUCGGUGGGUUCCCACAGUUCACAGGGUCACCUCCAGCAAUGCCUGGCGCAGGGCUCGGCACAUGGCAGGGGCCUCAUGCGUUUAUUUAGAACCCUCCCUUCCCCUUCCUCCCAGCUCCAGGGACUCGGGAAGAAUGGUGGUGGUGAUGCCUUAUGGGUUUACUGAACAAAUCUUUCCCUAACACCAGCUAGGCACUGGGCCCUGAGCGAAGGCCUGGUUCAACGCAGGCUGCUGCCUACACAGCAUCCACAGAUGGCGGGGGUAGAUGGGACCAAAGUUGCAGGAACGACAGUUUAUAGAGUGCUGCGUCACAGGCAUUCAUUUGGAGCACGUUGACUGUGUGCCUGGCUCUCCAUGUGCUUUGGCUAACCGAAUGAAUGAGCGAGUGAGCGAAUGAGCUUCCCACGGGCAGGCUGCUGAGGGCAGGUGGGGAGUCCACCUAACAUCCACAUCCCCAGGGAAGAGGCAUGGCCAGGCCCCUGCGCAGAGGCUACCGUCUCACACUGCUCUGCUGACUCCUGCUGGCCACGGCCUGGAAUGGCAGCCGUCAUCUCCCAGUAGCCUCCUGGGCCGCUCUGGGGUGGGGGUGAGGGGGCGGUGAGCAAGAAGGAAACUGAGGGGCUGGCUUCCUUACGGGUUUGUAAACACACCCCUCCCUGGCCCCCUCUGAAAAUGAGGAAGCAUCUUGGGGAAAGAAACCAAUCUGGUUGGGAGCGAGAUCACAGCAGAGCUACAUGCUGAGCCCCGAGAGUCCCCGACUCCAGGGCUGGGCCUGGGCUCGGCAGGGAAAGGAGCUGACCAGGUUUCCUGACAUCCCACUGCCCUCUUGGUCACCCUCACAUCCCUCUGUGCCUUAGUUUCUUCACCUGUCAAGUGGGGCAGGGUGCAAUCACUCCCUACCAAGGUGACCGUGAGGAUGGGGUGGCACAGCCAGACGUGCCCAGAAGGGCUCUGCAGGCCCCACAGACUCUGAUGCUUACUAUCUGUGUCACUGUGGGCAAGGGACUUACCAUCGCUGGAGCUCAGUUUUAGCCCCUUUGCAACACGGGGCUGGUUAACAGUACCUGCUUGUGAAACACCUCCAGAGGCCUGGUCCAGUGGAGCGCUCAGGAAAUGGGGUAUCUAGGGGGACAUGCUUACCUGUCUCUCACCUGCAGGGUCUCUUCUGGGGUCUACGAGCCAGUUGUGAUUGAAAGCCAUUGAGGAGCAGGUGUCCGGGCUGGAGAAGAGUCCUGCUUUCUCUGGAGUCCAGACCUGCAUCAUUCCAUGAGGAACUUUCCCCUUCAGAUCACCUCUGUGCCACAUCUCAUCCAUGCCUCCUCCAUGCACUCCAGUCCACACUCCCCAUAGCAUCAUUCCAUUGCCCUCCCAUCCAUGCUGGGACCCUCCUGGCCCACCAAGGCCCAGGCACCACUGUGAAUAUUCUCCUCUGAACCACUAGAGGGCAGGCCAGGCAGGCCAGGCGGGCCCGUGCAGCUUGUGGGCAAGAAGGAGCUGGCUAGGACAGGCGCUGCUGGAGACUGACCCAGCCCUCUGGCUGAGGACAUGCAGCGGCUCCUAAAUGUAGAGAUGCCUGUGGCUGUGUCCCCACUCACUCCAGGAGCACUGGCUUUGGUCACGUCUUAGCGGCGGGGCCUUGCUCCAUUGUUCCCUUGCCCUGGUGGUGGGGGGGCCAGACCACCUCUGGAAUCCUGCCACCUGUGACUGUCUGACUGCUUAGUGCUUCAGCUGUCCCUUCCUUGUGUCCUGGGGGACCUGCUGGCAGCCUCUUCCUGGGAGCCAUGACCUCAGACCCCACCCACACUCCAGAUCCAGACCCCACCCACACUCCAGAUUGAGACCCCUGCCUCUCCCCGGCAAAUGUCCUCCCGCUGCCUUGCAGCCUGCACUUUGCACAUGCUCACCCCCAGCACAGUCCCGCUGGCCCCUCACCUCCCCUUCCCUGAGCCCCUUCCCAAGGACUCCUGGUCACUGCCUGCUGUGCAGUCAGAGGCCCAGGGUCCAGCAGCCCGGCGGGAACGGGUGCUGCCUCUCCCUCCAGUUAGCUCCAGCUCAGGUCUGAGACCCGUGCUGAGAAAGGUCUGAGCACCGACCGUGCCCUCUGCCCAGGGCUGGGUCCUGAGCAGCUGGUUUUCCUGCAGGAAGGUUGGAGCAAGCAAAGUCCUUCUCUGCCCUCAGGGUCAGCUGCCCAGACUGGGGCGGAUGCCAGAGAGGCAGGUGGGCUGUGGCUGGACUGGUCCGGAGCUGGCUUCCUUGCCAGAAAAGCCUCAGCCUUCCUCUGGAAGCAUCCCCCGUUCUGGGCAAGGGGGAAGGGCUCCUUUAAGGGGUGUGCUUUCCCAGCGGGGAGCAGUCUGGCCCUGCCCCCUACUAAAGCCUCUGCUCUCAGCACUUUCCCCCAAGUCCUUGUAACUUGCUUGAAGGUGGGUUCUGGCUGUCAGCCAGUCCCUGGACAAACUCUCCUGUCCCUUUUAAAUUUCACUCAUUUUGUAUAAACCCAGCAGGCUGGUGUUUACUUAGCCCUAUAGCUUUUUUCAUUUUUUCUUUCCGUCUUUCUUCUUGAGUUCACGGUUCAAUACUGCCUCCUCCCCCUGGUGAGGGGAGGUGCUGCUUUUCUGCCCCACCUGCCGGCUGGUUCCAGCAGCGCUGGGGCCCAGCUGGGGGGCCGGGAUGGGGGCUUCUCUCUCUGGGAGGGGUGCAGGUGCCCUCCCCAGGCUGGGAGGGUUCCUUCCCUAGUUCCCCAUCUGUCCCCGCUGGUGAGAGUUGAGCUUCUUGGUCUUGGAACUCCCUGGCAUUGGGACCAGAGCAUUUCUAGCAUUUGUUGUUGUUGUUGUUUUACUCACCUAACCCUUAGAAAAUGAAUGUUAGAAGGUGCCUGCCGAGGUGAGACAGAGUGUUUGCUCUGGCUGGAGAAGGCUCUUCUCAGCCCUGAGAGUCCCUUCCUGCCCCACAGAUACUGGCACUUUAAAAAGGAAGCUGACCGCACUGUGUCCAGACGAAUUGGCCCCCAGAAGAUGGGGAGUUCUGUCCUGCCCUUCUGUGUCUGCGUGACCUCACCCAGCCUAGGAGGGAGGUGCAUUCAGGGUAGAUUUGCCUCUUAUUCAAAGUUCUGGGGCUUUGGGCAGAAAACAGCCGGCUUUGGCGCUGUUGGGGAGACUCCUCCAGACCAGGAACCCCAGAAGGAGACAGAGCCUGCCACACCCUUCCACGCCAGGCCCUGGGCCAGGGUGAUUGGACUGAGAAUUUGGCCACAACCAAAUUGAUGCUGGCUGGAACCAGAGGCCAGAAAGCCUGGCCUUGUUGUCCCCAUGUGGGAGCCCUGUCCUCAGCCCCCUUGUCCCCUUGAGCUCAGUGAAUUCCCACCAGGUGCCCACGGCUCCUGGACUUCAAAUUCUAUAUAUUGAGAGAGAUGGAGAGUAUAUCAGAGAUAUUUUUGGAAAGGAAUUGGUCUAUGCAAUGUCAGUUUGGAAUCUUCUUGAAAGUUUAACGUUUUUAUUAGGAAAUUUAAAGAAAAUAAAGGUCUACAAUAUC